CGCCGGCAAAGAAAACAGAAAAAAGCGAUCGCAUUGGUAUAGAGAGGUCGAGUUUCUUUUGGAGUUGUGGGAGGAGAAUCUGCCGUACUACGAGGCUGUAAAAGCAAUACGCAUGUGUAUGCAGAUAUGGCCGUGGAAAUGGCGCUAAAGGGAUUUGUGUUUUCUUCCAGGGAAAUAAAGGUUAAAGUACAUAAUUUAUCAAAUAAAAUAGAGGUGAGAAAAAAGUUGUUGGUCCUUCAGGCGGUACCCCGUCUGCGUGGGAGUACUACGAUAAAGUGCAUCAUAUCCUUGGCGGAUAUAAAUAUUUCAACCUAGAAGCAAUUGUAGAAGAGAGUGUGUAUGCCUAUAUUAAUUCUUUUUUAUUUAUUAUUUAAUAAA